AUCGUACCCGAAACCGACACAGGUAGUCAGGUCGA
rnacentral:sRNA from 1 species